UCUCCCCCUGUGGUCAUUUAUGCUGAUAUCGAAGCUGUAUUGGAAAGUUUUCAUAGGAAUCUGAAUGAUCCCUUAAAAUCAUCUACCACUAUGGCUCAGAAGCAUACGGCAUGUGCAGUGUCAUUUUAUGUUGUACAUAACUAUAAUCAUCAUUUAAAUGAGAUGUGGACAUAUGAAGGACCAGAUUGUAUCGAUCAAUUCUGCCAAGUGCUUCGAUCGAAAACCAUGGGACUUUAUGAGAAGUACUGG